rnacentral:rRNA from 1 species
GUAGGUGGCAAGCGUUGUCCGGGAAUUAUUGGGGCGUAAAGCGCGCGCAGGCGGUUCUUUAAGUCUGAUGUGAAAGCCCACGGGCUCAACCGUGGAGGGUCAUUGGAGACUGGAGAACUUGAGUACAGAAGAGGAAAGCGGAAUUCCACGUGUAGCGGUGAAAUGCGUAGAGAUGUGGAGGAACACCAGUGGCGAAGGCGGCUUUCUGGUCUGUAACUGACGCUGAGGCGCGAAAGCGUGGGGAGCAAACAGGAUUAGAUACCCUGGUAGUCCACGCCGUAAACGAUGAGUGCUAAGUGUUAGGGGGUUUCCGCCCCUUAGUGCUGCAGCUAACGCAUUAAGCACUCCGCCUGGGGAGUACGGCCGCAAAGGCUGA